CUUCAGUCGUGUGUCCCCACGCCAGCCACUGUGAUGAGCUGGGACACAAGGGUAGUCUGGACACAGUCCUUUUCCACCAGGGGCAUCUGGCCAUGUGGGAAUUCAGACCCGCAGGCAGUUACUGGGCAGAGCACUAUGGCUGCUGCUCCCCGGGGGGGGGUAGGUGGCAAUACAGAGGGUGAGGGACGAUGCUAUUUGGAGGAACCAGGUGGAUCCACCGGGCGUGUUCCCCUGUGCUGCGUGUCUUCACAUAGGACGCUUGAGGCCAUGUGGUCACCGUGAAGACUAAAUCCACCCACGGAAGAUGGUGGACCAGAGAGUGAGAAGCAGCGUAGGCCCAUGAUGACACUGUAGAGCGGCCGUCCCAACCUUGGACUGAAGAGCCCCAGACUUCUAGCAAUGUGAGGAAGACAGUCCUCUGUGUGUUUCAGUUUCUCUUGGUCAGGUCUCUGUUAUUCAUGGCUAAAAACAUUUCUAACUGAUCCUGCCUCUCCCCCAUAAAUUGUGUAUUGGGACAGCUCAGGACGGGGGACAGAUUAGGCAAACCUUCAUGGAACACAGGUUGAAUAUAAAGAAAUGUUUUUUUCUCCCCUCUCACUUCCUUUUCUGAAAUGGUUGCUUGACAUGUGUUUGUUACGACAGAAGGGAUCGUGUUCAGAAAACAGAAUGCUUUUCUUCUUUGCUAUAAUUUUGAUGAUUUCUUCACGCGUAAGGUUUUUUCCUGUUUCUCUCCAUUUGGCAAAAAUUAAAGAUGACAUCUUCCUUAGAGAUCAGCAGCUGGUUGCUCCAUUUAUGACAAAAAUCAUUUAAAGAUGAAAAUUGUGAAGUUAUUUUAUCUGACAUAAUUCUAUUUGCUGAACGAACUUAAAUCAAACUGUUCUGGUCCUAAGUGAACAAGGUUACCUACAGCUUUAAAGGUUAUUGAAUUAAAAAAAAAACAUUUAAAUUAUCCUUAGAGAUCUAUAGAUUAAAAGAGACUUUGUGGAAAUAUUGACCGGUUGCAAUUUAUGGACCUUAUUUGGAUACUGACUUGAACAAAUAAUGUGUUCAACAAAUUUAUGAAACCCUGCAACAAUAGGGGAAUGUUAGUGGUUUUUAUGGAAUUACCAUUAUUUUUAGGUGUGGUGGUAAUAUUGUGGUGAUAUUUUGAAGUCUUUAUCUUUUAGAGAUAUCUACUGAACUAUUUAUAGACAAAACGUCUUGGAUUUGUCCAUGAGUUCAUAACAUGGCCAUGAGGUUCCUUGUUGAUUCUGGGUGAUGAGGUUCAUUGUCCCAGUCUCUC
rnacentral:lncRNA from 1 species